GACGAACGCUGGCGGCGUGCUUAACACAUGCAAGUCGAACGAAGAGCGAUGGAAGCUUGCUUCUAUCAAUCUUAGUGGCGCACGGGUGAGUAACGCGUAAUCAACCUGCCCUUCAGAGGGGGACAACAGUUGGAAACGACUGCUAAUACCGCAUACGAUCUAAUCUCGGCAUCGAGGAUAGAUGAAAGGCGGCCUCUACAUGUAAGCUAUCACUGAAGGAGGGGAUUGCGUCUGAUUAGCUAGUUGGAGGGGUAACGGCCCACCAAGGCGAUGAUCAGUAGCCGGUCUGAGAGGAUGAACGGCCACAUUGGGACUGAGACACGGCCCAGACUCCUACGGGAGGCAGCAGUGGGGAAUCUUCCGCAAUGGACGAAAGUCUGACGGAGCAACGCCGCGUGAGUGAUGACGGCCUUCGGGUUGUAAAGCUCUGUUAAUCGGGACGAAAGGCCUUCUUGCGAACAGUUAGAAGGAUUGACGGUACCGGAAUAGAAAGCCACGGCUAACUACGUG
rnacentral:rRNA from 1 species